CUAGGGCAUCGAUCCUCCAACCCCCACUAGCUCCUGGGGCGUGUCAGUGACAGCAUCUGCUAUAGACUGCAUGUGCAUACUUAUUUAUUUAUUUAGAGACAGUCUCAUUCUGUUGCCAGGCUGGAGUGCACCGCACCCGGCCUGUCAGCCCUGUCUUUGAUCUGGAACAUGACUCUGGAACAUGCUUCUCCAGGGAGACAUGCCUAAUGCUUGAAUCAUAUCCACAAAGGUACUGGCGGGAUGAGCCACAUAAUUUGUGAGGCCCCGUGCAAAACUAAAAUGUGGAGAACCCUUGUUGAAAAAGUAUUAAGAAUUUCAAGGUGAUGACAACAGAGUAUUAAACCAAAGAGGGGGCUGCUGCACAGGUCGCAUGCCCGUUAAGCCAGCCUGAGGACUGAGCAACCAGGCAGGGUGCAGUGAG
rnacentral:lncRNA from 10 species